AACGAACGCUGGCGGCGUGCUUACACAUGCAAGUCGAACGCGAAAGGGGGGCUUGCUCCCUGAGUAGAGUGGCGCACGGGUGAGUAACGCGUGGGUAACCUACCCUAAUGUGGGGGAUAACUACUCGAAAGGGUGGCUAAUACCGCAUAAGACCACGGAGUCCUCGGGCUCUGAGGCCAAAGAUUGCAUCGGCUUGCCGGUGCCGUCGCAAUAGGAUGGGCCCGCGUACGAUUAGCUAGUUGGUGAGGUAAUGGCUCACCAAGGCUACGAUCGUUAGCUGGUCUGAGAGGAUGACCAGCCACACUGGAACUGGAACACGGUCCAGACUCCUACGGGAGGCAGCAGUGAGGAAUAUUGCGCAAUGGGGGAAACCCUGACGCAGCAACGCCGCGUGGGUGAAGAAGGCCUUCGGGUCGUAAAGCCCUUUCGGACGGGAUGAACGUCUUACGGGGAAACUCGUGAGGCUUGACGGUACCGUAAGAAGAAGCACCGGCUAACCCCGUGCCAGCAGCCGCGGUAAUACGGGGGGUGCAAGCGUUGUUCGGAAUUACUGGGCGUAAAGCGCGUGUAGGCGGCCCUGCAAGUCAGAUGUGAAAGCCCUCGGCUUAACCGGGGAAGUGCAUCUGAUACUGCUUGGCUUGAGUACUGGAGAGGAAGGCGGAAUUCCCAGUGUAGAGGUGAAAUUCGUAGAUAUUGGGAGGAACACCGGUGGCGAAAGCGGCCUUCUGGACAGAUACUGACG
rnacentral:rRNA from 1 species